UUUCCUGCAGGCCGUCCGUCAGCGACGCGUCCACAGCUCUGGAAGAAGCCUUGCUUGGGUUGACUUUUCCUUCUCUUUUGCCACAAGCCCCAUGCAUGGUGAGCAACUUUGCGCUGAUAGUAGCCCUCCCUCGUUGGUCAAGAACCCUGUUGAAAGCGCUUUUUGGUCAACGUUUGCACUUCCUGUUUGCUCCUCGAACCCAAGUGGGUGUGGCUUUUUGACUCGAUCUCCACCUUGACGGACUGACGGACGGACGAACGGCCCUCCCAUUUCUACGCCUCUCCACGAGUCGUGUCAGGCGUCCAAAUGGCACAUUCAAGCAAGGCGCUCACGAUGAACCUCAGACGAAUAUGCUAGCGCUGCUCAACCAAGACUCGGACGCCACAUGUCCCGGAUGCACGCUGCCAACCUCCCAGGCCGCAUCGCAUCACGCACACGCCCGCACGCCCGCCCCUCCGAUCUCCGUCCUUUUUACGAGCGCGCCUGCAUGGCGAAAUGACGCCCCGGGACGCACCUUUCCCCGCCCCUUACCCGGCUGCCAUGGUUACUGCAGGUGAGCUCAUUUCCUUCACUUUUAUUGAGUCAAGUCCGUCUGUCUGCUUGACGAGCUCCCUUAUUAGCUCGUUAGCUCAUUAAAGGCGGCGGGGUCAUUAAAGAGACAAACUGACCAUCUUUCACACGCGCGGGCGCGCGCGCACAUACAUAGACAGAGCAGCUGUUCGGGCACGACAUUAAAAGUCUCAUUUUUUCAUUUUAUGGCUCUCGUUAAAGUUUUUAGGGAGCCGCUAAUGACAUCACACACGCGCACGCACUCGUUAGGUUUCAGGGAGUGUGCGACUGUUGACCUUUAGGACAAACGACUGACAAGAAGUUUCAGCGAACGUUAGGUGAGUGAAAAACACCAUUUCUGCUCAUUGAGCAAUUGGCGCCCCGAUCGCUCUCAUCCAGACCACCCGCACGCUGCUGGCCCAUCAAGCCCCCUGACGGCACGAGGGGGAGAGACUGUUGAGCGUCCAGCUGGCGUGUGACACAGGCAGCAAGUAGAUCAUCUUCGACGAGCAGAAUUCCCACAGAGGGUUCUAAUCGGCUUCACCGCGCCAUGGGUUUCCAGCAACUGUCUCCCUCGUGCCUUCUGUUCUUUCCCUUGCUUUGCUUCGCUUCCAGGAGCGUCUUGUGUUCCCGUUUCACCAUUGACCUUGAAAAGUUUCAACUUUUAGCAUGACCGUCCGGUUUAAGCCAUUCUGAUUCCGGAGAGGUGUCCGAAUGUAUCCAGGGAGCAUAAAUGUAUAGGGCACUCACUGACUCACAAUGCACUUGAAAAACAAACAAAAGAAACCCCUUACUUUAGAAUCUAAAGUUUAGAUGGUCUUUUUUCCCUCAAAAAAGCCUUAAUAUAUAUGUGGUCAUUAUUCCCCCCCCCCCCAAAAUCUCUAUACGUGGUCAUUUUUUUUCCCCCCAUAGGUUUUUUUAAGGCUCAAAAGUAGGACAUGUCCGGGGGAAAAAAGGACGUCUGGUCACCAACCUAUAUUUACACUCAAGGAAAGAGCAAUGACGGAAAGGAAAUGGACAUGUUCAUUUGACCCUGGGUUCCAUGCAAGUGAAUGGGGGCACUGCCGUCUUGUGGUAGCCUGGCGUCAUUACAUGAACCGCUUCAUAAACUAUCGCGUCAAAAGCCUGUAUGUUUCAUAUCGUGUGACCUAGGUGUUUAUUUAAUUCUGCUUAUGUGAUGAUAUUUUAAACUAAACAAAUGUACAGUGAAAUACUCAUGUUUAAUUUCUAAUAACCAAAUUAUAUUUACAUUCAAGAAAGAGCAAUGAAGAAAAGGAAAUGGACAUGUUCAUUUGACGCUGAGUCACAUACAAGUGGAUACUGCCAUCUUGUGGUAGGUUAGCGUCAUUACAUGAACCGCUUUAUUAAGGAUAGGCAAAAGCCCAUUAUUAAUUAAAAUUAUAUAAAAUUAUAAUACGAUAAUAUUCAAUGAAAAUAAUAAUAACCAAAGUCCGUUUUAUUGUCAGUUUCCUCACACAGAGAUCGAAACUGCGUUUCCUAUUAUCCCACAGUGACAAGACAUAUUACAUGUUAUCCCUAGACAUUUGGAUAUUUUGUUUUGCAUCACUGAUGCAGCAUCAGUAUUCUUUUCAAGUGGAAAAGAUGAGAAGAAAGGAUCUCCAGCAAUUGUUUAUUUUGAAAAUGCAACCUCUAUUUCUCCGAUUCUCUGGUGUUUGUCCUCCCCAAAUCCACUUUUCGGGGCUGCUCAACGGGUGUUCUACGUGUGCGCUGUGCCGCCAUCUUCAGGCUAAGCACCGAACUGCACCCCGAUUUGACUGGCGUCCUCUCGAUGGGCUGACGCUAAUUCUCGAAACAAUACCGUAGGCGGAGGGAGCUAGCACACUUUGAAGGGGGAAA